GGACGGUUAGCUCAGUGGGUUGAGUGCAGUGCUGACGACAAUGACAAUACGGAGGUCACGGGUUCGAUUCCCGCUCAGUCCC
rfam:Apaloderma vittatum contig5211, whole genome shotgun sequence.